GCUCAGCAACGCAUCACUGUGUUUUGGCCGCUCCACAGAAAACAUCAAAUGCUUGUGUCUUUCUAUGCGUCGUUCCGUAUAGGAUCAUUUUCCGGCGGCUAUAUAUGCUGACGUCUGGCGCCAAAACAUUCUGUUUCAUUCAGCCCUAGAUCACUCUCACUCAGGCCGCGACGAUGUUCUCGCAGAGAAAUCUAUGGCGGAAGAGCUUAGGAUCCAAACCCGUGCUCACUCAAAUCCUCCGGCGAACCCUCUUCGCCUCAACGCCUUCGCCGUCGCCGUCCGAGCGGCCGCCGGUGCUCCCGCCCUUUGACCACCAACCAACUCCCUACAAUAAGAUGAUGGCCGACGAGAUCCUCAAAAAGCGGAAAGAGUUUCUUGGCCCCUCCCUUUUCUACUAUUACCAAAAGCCACUAAAUAUUGUGGAAGGGAAGAUGCAGUAUCUUUAUGAUGAGAGUGGGAAGCGUUAUCUUGAUGCAUUUGCUGGAAUCGUGACUGUUUCUUGUGGGCAUUGCCAUCCUGAUAUAGUUAAUGCGGUGGUGGAACAAACUAAGCUCCUCCAGCAUACUACCACAAUUUAUCUUCACCAUGCCAUUGUCGAGUUUGCCGAAGCAUUGGCAUCGAAAAUGCCAGGAAACCUAAAGGUUGUUUAUUUUGUGAAUUCCGGGACUGAAGCUAAUGAGUUAGCAAUGAUGAUGGCUCGGUUGUACACUGGAAAUCUUAACAUGAUAGCUCUGAGAAAUGCAUAUCAUGGUGGCAGCGCUGGAACGCUUGGGCUGACUGCUUUGCAUACUUGGAAAUACCCAAUCCCUCAGGGCGAAGUUCAUCAUGUUAUGAAUCCCAAUCCAUAUCGAGGGGCAUUUGGCUCCGAUGCUUCUCGUUAUGCUGACGAAGUUAAAGAUCAUAUUGCUUAUGCUACUCCAGGAAGUGUUGCAGGAUUUAUUGCGGAAACAUUUCAGGGAGUUGGAGGUGCAGCAGAAUUAGCUCCUGGAUACCUGAAAUUAGUAUAUGAUAUUGUGCAUCAAGCUGGUGGUGUCUGCAUAGCUGAUGAGGUUCAAAGUGGCUUUGGUCGCACUGGAAGUCAUUAUUGGGGCUUUCAAACACAAGGUGUCAUUCCCGAUAUUGUCACAAUGGCAAAGGGCAUUGGUAAUGGCUUACCAUUGGGAGCAGUAGUCACGACUCCUGAGAUAGCUCAAGUGAUGUCUCAAAGGAUACAAUUCAAUACAUUUGGUGGGAAUCCUGUGUGUUCUGCUGGUGGACAUGCAGUGCUUAAAGUUCUUGACAAGGAGAAUCGUCAAACGCAUUGUGCAGAUGUCGGGUCUCACUUAGUUAGACGAUUGAAAGAACUUCAAAAUAAGCAUGAAAUCAUUGGAGAUGUCAGAGGCAGGGGACUAAUGCUUGGUGUGGAACUCGUCACUGAUAGAAAAGACAAAACUCCAGCCAAAGCAGAGACUUUGAUAUUAUUUGAGAAGCUUAAAGAUCUUGGAGUCCUACUUGGAAAAGGAGGUCUUCAUGGGAAUGUAUUCCGAAUAAAACCACCAAUGUGCUUCAGCAAAGAGGAUGCAGAUUUCCUGGUGGAUGCAUUGGACUAUGCCAUCUCCACUAUUUGAGUUAUGUUUCUUGAAUUGGAAAUAAUGGUGCUUCAGUUACUGGCUAAGGAGUUUUGCGAUCAGACAUACUAUUUCACCGAGAGAAACGAAUAUAGGAUAACUAAUCUGGACAUUGGGCCCCUCUCGAGUUUCAAAUUUUAGCAGUAACGAAGGAUUGAGGGCUUCUGUGUUCUCUCCAGCAAAUGCCAUCUUUUGUGUUAGUAAACUCUUCGAUGUAAGAAAAGAUCUUUGCUUAUAUAUUCUUCCUUCAUUUCCUCCAGUU